AGAUAGAUAGAUAGAUGGACAUUUAAACACUAAAUAUAUAAAACUAAAAGAUUCAUGUAUAUGGAGAGCAUGCAAGGGAAAUUAAUUUUAAAUGGAGGUGAUCAGGAACAACAGAUGUACAUUUCAAACUUAAUCUACUUACUGGUAAUAAAUCGGGGAACACCCUUAAGGAGAAAAUUAGGCAGUUUACAAGGGAAGGGAGUUACUCUUUCUGAGGAGAAUGACUGCAGUCUGAAGACAUUGAUCAGAGAGAGACCAGCAGUAGCUUUUCAUGUAAAUUUUUGUUUUAUAGAGUUCAUCAUUUAGGUUUAUUUAUAAAACUCUAAAUAUUUAAAUUAUUUUUUUCUGUAUGGUUAGCAGAAUUUGGUUAAUAGAAUCUUUCUUUACAUUUAACAGAUAUUGUGGAUACUGGGGGGAGCUUAUUAUUUUUUUUGGCAGCAUCAAAGUUUAUCCACUGUAACACUGAUGAGUUAAAUUAAAGAUUAACUCAAGCCUUUAAAGAAGAGAUCAGAAUGUGUCCAUAAUACAAAAAAAUAAAAUAAAAUUAGGCCACUUUCAAUUUUCCAGAAAAUUCAGUUAUAAUCAACUGACUUUCUUCUGUGCCUCUGGGAGGACUGUUCAGUGGCGUCCAAGGCAGGCAAAGGAAGAGGGAGCCUGUACUUGGACUUUCUCUGCUCCCAUUCUAGAGGCUUUCCUUAAGUUGUGACGGGAAGACACAUUUUCUUGGAGCUGGUGGCUUUCUUGAUAUUUGGGAAAUACAGAUUUCAUGACUGUUUUAAUGUCAGUGGUGAAGUCACGCUUAGGAAGGGGAGUGCUUUGAGCUGUCAGAAAAAUACUCAGUUGGCUGUACUUUCCUGUAGUCAAAAUGGCACUUUGAGGCUCUUUCAUGUCCCUCUGUCCAUAGUCUGGGGGAUUGUUAUUCCUUUGUGUUUUCAAGGAAGGCAUUGCCUGCUUUCCUUUGGCCUUUUCUCUAUUCCAACUCCAAAAAAGAAAUGACAUGUGUCACAAGGUUUUUUUGGUUUUGGUUCUUUCUCUGAGAUUUACUGCCUGAAGUCUGCUUCAAACUCACCAGCACGAAGCAGCCACACUAGUUUCACAGUUGUACAAGCCCUGUUUCUCCAUGAAAUAAUGGUGUGAGAGUAAGUGGAAAUGCCCCAGUUGUAUUGCAAUAUAUUCUGAAAACAAUAUUCUUAUCAGUGCUUGAGUUGUGUAAGAUGCAUAAUAAAAUCCUUAGUGCAAACUUUGGAAUUAAUAGUUUGCAUUUGUUUUUUAGAAGGAAACAGGCUGUCUACAUUGAAUACCACAUUCUUUAAAACUGAUACCAAGGAGACACAAAAAUAUAUUGCCUCAGUAAACUUUUGAUUAAAUAUACUCAUUGAUUUUUUUAUUCAACACAUGCUCAAUAACAGGGAUGUGCUAGGCACUGUCAAUCUAAAUAUAAAAGACAGUCUCUGCUUCAAGAAAUCUGCAGUACACUGGGAGAAUCUUUCAUGUCCUCUGGUGCAAACAGGCGCAGUAGCUGAACCUUUAAUUCACUCAGGCCAGUAAAUAUGCUUUCCUGCGCGUACCAUUUUACCCAACAAAACAACUUAGUCUAAUGAGGUGAGUUAUAUUGUUAACAAAACACACA